GACGAACGCUGGCGGCGUGCUUAACACAUGCAAGUCGAACGCUGAAGCACCAGCUUGCUGGUGUGGAUGAGUGGCGAACGGGUGAGUAAUACGUGAGUAACCUGCCCUUGACUCUGGGAUAAGCCCGGGAAACUGGGUCUAAUACUGGAUGCUACAUGUCACCGCAUGGUGGUGUGUGGAAAGGGUUUACUGGUCUUGGAUGGGCUCACGGCCUAUCAGCUUGUUGGUGAGGUAAUGGCUCACCAAGGCGACGACGGGUAGCCGGCCUGAGAGGGUGACCGGCCACACUGGGACUGAGACACGGCCCAGACUCCGACGGGAGGCAGCAGUGGGGAAUAUUGCACAAUGGGCGAAAGCCUGAUGCAGAGACGCCGCGUGAGGGAUGACGGCCUUCGGGUUGUAAACCUCUUUCAGCAGGGAAGAAGCCACAAGUGACGGUACCUGCAGAAGAAGCGCCGGCUAACUACGUG
rnacentral:rRNA from 1 species